GUGGGGAAUAUUGGACAAUGGGCGCAAGCCUGAUCCAGCAAUGCCGCGUGGGUGAAGAAGGUCUUCGGAUCGUAAAGCACUUUCGACAGGGACGAUGAUGAAGGUACCUGUAGAAGAAGCCCCGGCUAACUUCGUGCCAGCAGCCGCGGUAAUACGAAGGGGGCUAGCGUUACUCGGAAUUACUGGGAGUAAAGGGCGCGUAGGCGGCUCUGUUAGUCAGGCGUGAAAUUACUGGGCUUAACCUGGGGACUGCGCUUGAUACUGCAGGGCUUGAGGCCGAGAGAGGGUGGUGGAAUUCCCAGUGUAGAGGUGAAAUUCGUAGAUAUUGGGAAGAACACCGGUGGCGAAGGCGACCACCUGGAUCGGUUCUGACGCUGAGGCGCGACAGCGUGGGGAGCAAACAGGAUUAGAUACCCCAGUAGUCC
rnacentral:rRNA from 1 species